AGACACGGUCUGAAGGAGGGAAUGCAGGCUGGGCUCCAGGGUUUGCUUGAUUUAAUGACUGUUUUGCUGCUCUUCCCUUUAGCUUUCCAAGAACCCGGCUUCAUCUUUAGAGGAAACCCCAUGGCCAGAUUUCUAGCUGCUCAUCCAGGAGAGACAGGCUGGUUCUUGUAGCUCUGACAAACACAGAAGCCUCAGCAAUUUCUAACUCACACACUUGCUCAAAGACCAGGCGGAUUCUUAACUACUGCGCCACCAGGGAAGCCCAAGAUGAGGUAUCUUUUAGCAACAGCAUGAACCAGUAUCCAUAAACGAUGCCUGGCACAUAUGACAGCUCAGUACACAUCAACUGAGUGAAUUUGGGAAGUGACCUGGAAGGUUAAGUCCCCUGUAAAACAGUGUUUUUGGUCAUGAUUAGACCUGUACCCUCCAUCUGGGGAAAACUCAGAGGAAUAAAUGGAGCUGUUUUGUUCUCUCACCUCACUCCCUCUCAGCAGUAGGAGGCUCUG